CAAACAGAAGUCCUCUGGUAUGUGUGUGUUGAAGCAAUGCUGUGUUACAGGACUUUAUGAUGAUCUCUCACAGGACUGGUCAUGUCAGCCGUAAUUAUUCUUUCCAAUGUUUUUAUAUUUAUUUUAUUUUAUUUGAUACAGCUAUAAUAAUUAUAGCAUGUUAGCAAAGUUUGACUGGAACAUUUUUAAUCUAAAGUUUUAAAAAAACACCACCUGUUAUUCUUAAAAGCAUACAAGUGUCAUAAAAGUGGUUUAAUUGAUAUAAACACCAAUUGAUAUUAUCUCACUGUUUUGUGAAUGUUGUGUUAUAAAUUGUGAAUUGAUAGUUGAUUGGUUUGAGCAAAGCCUUACACUGCACAGACUAAAACACAUUUGUGAGAGAAGUCAUUAGCUCUGGAGAAAGAUUCUAGAGGAAGAAAACACAUUUACUGCAACAAUAGAUGAAUUCUAGAGUCUCUGAGAACUACACAUGCUAAUGGAGUCUCAUGAGCAAGUCCUUUGCCUCUGUAACUUUUUCUAAAUUCUUGCAUAAUGAAAUUGUUUAUUGCAGUAUUUUAACAAUUUUACUUUGUACAGAUGAUCUCAUCAAACCAAACGAGGGGUUUUGACCAAGUGAUGCUCUUGAAAGGACUGAAAGAAGAGGAUGUGGUAAAUUGUCUUCAGAGAAAAAGCUUCUCAAAAGAUCUUUAAACAGCUUGAAGAAUGGUCUGGGAUCUUAAGACUGAGAGAUCUCACUGGCACCCAGUUAACCUCCAUAGAGAACAUUUAUCAGAAGCGCUGUCUGGGUAGGGCAAGAAACAUCAUCAAGGAUGCCUCUCACCCUAACCAUGGACCUUUCACCCUCCAUCCAUCCGGCAGGCGUUACAGGAGCCUACGCUCUCUAACUAGUAGACUCAGGAAGAGCUUCUUCCCCGAGGCUGUGACACUCCUGAACACCACACCACCAAUCUAUCCUGCACCUGCUCUUUUACUGCACUGGUCACAGUACUUUACAUACAUGUAUUGCACUACUCAUAUUUUGCACAGACUGCACAUGGUUAAAUCCAUUACACUAUAAACUGUCUAAAGCUGUUACUGUACAAGCACAGUAAACUAUUUCUACAAUAAAUAUAAUUGCACUACUAUUAUUUUGCAUAUAAUAAAUUGUUAAACUAUACUUUUGCACACUCAUUCAACUGUAUUUAUUACCACUGUUCUCAAGUUCCUGCUAUUCAUAAUGUAUAUAUAAUUCUUCUUUGCUCUGUUCAUAAUGUACAUACAAUCCCUACAUUAAAUUCAUAUUUAUAUUCUGUAUAUACUCUGAUCAAUAUUGUAUAUAGCAACUCCACUGUAAAUUCUGUAUAUCAUAGCUUUACUUACUCUGCACUUUUAUGUAUAUAAAACACUAUAUUCUUGCACUUCUGGUUAGAUGCUAACUGCAUUUCAUUAGCUCUGUACUUGUACUCUGCAUAAUGACAAUAAAGUUGAAUCUAAUCUAAUCUAAUCUAAUCUUCUGGCUGAGAACAAGCUACACCACAUCAGUGCUGGAUAUCAACCAAAAGCUGUUUCCAGACACGAGAGAAGAUCACGAUGAAACCAGUUUUUGAUGUGUUGAUAAGGAAUCAUUAUUUUCUGAAACAGUAUCAAAUGUCUUAUAUGUAUCACAUGAUCUGUAUCACAGUUGACUGGAUGGGACUGUGACUUUUAAGGACAUUUCAUCACUCAUCUGUGUGAACUGAUUAAUAUAUGAGGUUAAUUUAUUUUUGAUUAUGAAUAAUUAUUUUCCUUGAAUCUUAUUUGUCUUGAUGCUACUUUAUCAUCUUUAUAGUCUAUGCUUCAAUAAAAUGAAUAUGACGAA